CCUACGGGUGGCUGCAGUGAGGAAUAUUGGUCAAUGGGCGAAAGUCUGAACCAGCCAAGCCGCGUGCGGGAGUACUGCUCUAUGGGUUGUAAACCUCUUUUGUCGUAGAGUAAACGCCGGACGUGUCCGGCUGUGAGAGUACUCGAAGAAAAAGCAUCCGCUUACCUCGUGCCAGCAGCCGGCGUAAUAAGGGGGGUUCGAGCGUUAUCCGGGUUUUUUGGGGUUAAAGGGGGCGCAGGCGGGUUUUUAAGGUAGGCGGCAAAUACUGGGGCCUAACCCCCGUACAGCCGUUGAUACUGGGGAACUAGAGAGUAGGAGCGGUAUGCGGAAUGCAUGGUGUAGCGGUGAAAUGCAUAGAGAUCACACAGAACACCGACUGCGAAGGCAGCAUACCAGUGUAUAACUGACGCUCAGGCACGAAAGCGUGGGUAUCGAACAGGAUUAGAUACCCGUGUAGUC
rnacentral:rRNA from 1 species